CUUGAUUCUGAGUUAGUAGCUGGAAGCUUCUGAUACCUUCCCCAUCUACAGCACAAUUGUUACCAGAAAAGCACACCUACUCACUGGAUAUCACAGAAUGCCACUGACUUGUGAACAGAGACCUGCUCCUCCACACGGCUGCCAGAAGCGAGGACACUGUCAAUGACCCCUACGCGGGCCUCUCACUGCUGUGGCCUCUCCCGUUGCGGAGCACAGGCUAACCGGACGCGCAGGCCCAGCGGCCAUGGCUCACGGGCCCAGCCGCUCGGCGGCAUGUGGGAUCCUCCCGGACCGGGGCACGAACCCGCGUCCCCUGCAUCGGCAGGCAGACUCCCAACCACUGCGCCACCAGGGAAGACCAACAAUUUUAUUUUCAUCACAUUUUCUUUGUCCUGGGGUCUGAGAAUUAUGUGCCCUGUACCUACCAUGCUCAAUUUCUGACACUCCCUUUUCUGCAUUUCUUCUCUCUACCUGAAACACCUUUUAUUUAAUCUUCCACCUAUUCCUGUGCUAGAUACCCAGAUUCCCAGCCUUUCUUUGGAUCUUUCUCUACCUUAUCCCUCACAUGUUAAUCUUUCUUCUCUGAAUUUUUUUUUUAAUAUUUAUUUAUUUGGCUGCGCCGGGUCUUAGUUGCGGCACGAGGGAUAGCAUGCGGAAUCUUUAUUUGCGGCAUGCGGGAUCUAGUUCCCUGACCAGGGAUGGAACCCGGGGCCCCUACAUUGGGAGCGUGGAGCUCAACCACUGGCCACAAGGGAAGUCCCUAAUGGGAGUAAUAAAUGUUUAAAAAAGGAGUUCUGAUUUUUAAUGAGAGUUUAAUAAAUAGGCAUUUUGGAGACUGUGUUGUAAAUAUACAUCUUUUCACAUAGUAGCUAUAACCACCUCAAAGGUUUUAUACAAGUUUAGGACUCAAACUACUUGUUUAUGAAAGUAUAUUUAUUACAGAAGGUGAGACAACAGUUCCACCUGGCAGCCUAAUCCGUAUAGUUCAGGAAGACAAGCUCCACAAAACACCUGACCAUUAAAUGCUUGAAGCUGUCCUUGGAGAAGCAGUUUCUUUCUCGACUAUGCAGAAAUUAGGUUAUCCCUGAACCAUGAAAUUUGAUUGUUCUUAUCCUAAUAUGCUAAAACUAGACUUUAGGUUCUUCUGGGCAUGGGUUUCAUUUGUUCAGAAUAAUUAUUUCUGCAUGACACAAGAUUGUGUACAUCUAGAGAGCUACAGGAACAACAAUGUAUAACUGCAAAAGGUGAUUGCUGAACAAAUAUUGGUCAACUUUUUAAAAACUCAUAUGAAGAAUCUGUCUCAAUUACAACCAAACAGUAGUGAAUUCCAAAUAUGAAUUUUGCAUUACAGUCAAAA